GACGAACGCUGGCGGCGUGCUUAACACAUGCAAGUCGAACGGAAAGGCUCUGCUGGCAGGGUACUCGAGUGGCAAAGGGGCGAGUAACGCGUGGAUGCUCUCUCCUUCACUUCGGGAUACGCUUGGGAAACUGGGUCUAAUCCCGGAAAGUAGCCAUUUUUAGUGUGCUGUUUGGAAAGUUUCUUCGGUGUAGGAUGAGCUCGCGGGCGAUCAGCUUGUUGGUGGGGUAAUGGCCUACCAAGGCGGCGACGGGUAGCCGGCCUGAGAGGGUGGUCGGCCACAUGGGGACUGAGAUACGGCCCAGACUCCUACGGGAGGCAGCAGUGUGGAAGAUUGCCCAAUGGAGGCAAGCCUGAUGCAGCGCCGCCGCGUUGUGGAUGGCGGCCUUCUGGUAUUAAACGCCUAUCGCUAGGGACUAAGCGUUUGUGACGGUACCUAAAGAAGAAGCACCGGCUAACUACGUG
rnacentral:rRNA from 1 species